UUAUAGAGACCUGAAAGGAUUCGGUUUCGACCCGUAUUGUAAGUUUGUUAACUUUCUAUUUUUUUUUUAGUUG
rnacentral:tRNA from 1 species